rnacentral:rRNA from 1 species
GACGAACGCUGGCGGCGUGCUUAACACAUGCAAGUCGAACGCUGAAGCUCAGCUUUUGUUGGGUGGAUGAGUGGCGAACGGGUGAGUAACACGUGAGUAACCUGCCCCCUUCUUUGGGAUAACGCCCGGAAACGGGUGCUAAUACUGGAUAUUCACUGGUCUUCGCAUGGGGGUUGGUGGAAAGGGUUUUUCUGGUGGGGGAUGGGCUCGCGGCCUAUCUGCUUGUUGGUGGGGUGAUGGCCUACCAAGGCUUUGACGGGUAGCCGGCCUGAGAGGGUGACCGGUCACAUUGGAACUGGGAUACGGCCCAGACGCCUACGGGAGGCAGCAGUGGGGACUAUUGCACAAUGGGCGCAAGCCUGAUGCAGCGACGCCGCGUGAGGGAUGGGGGCCUUCGAGUUCUGAACCUCUUUCGCUCAUGGUCAAGCCGCAACAAUGGUUGUGUUGAGGGUAGUGGGUAAAGAAGCGCCGGCUAACUACGUG